rnacentral:rRNA from 1 species
UAGGGAAUAUUAGUAAUGGGCGAAAGCCUGAACUAGCAACACCGCGUGUGCGAAGAAGGCCUUCGGGUUGUAAAGCACUUUUUGAGAGGAUGAGGAAGGACGGUACUCUCAGAAUAAGUCUCGGCUAACUACGUGCCAGCAGCCGCGGUAACACGUAGGAGGCAAACGUUAUCCGGAUUUACUGGGCGUAAAGCGCGUGUAGGUGGUUCUGUAAGUAGGGCGUGAAAGCUCCCGGCUCAACUGGGAGAGGCCGUUCUAAACUGCAGAACUAGAGGAUGGUAGAGGGAGGUGGAAUUCCGGGUGUAGCGGUGGAAUGCGCAGAUAUCCGGAGGAACACCAGUGGCGAAAGCGGCCUCCUGGACCACUCCUGACACUCAGACGCGAAAGCUAGGGUAGCAAACG